UUUCCGUAGGUGGACCUGCGGAAGGAUCAUUCAUAAUAAAGUGUUUUAUGGCACUUUUUAAAAAUCCAUAUCCACCUUGUGUGCAAUGUUAGAUCUCGUCAAUCUUGGCGAGAUUUUUAUACAUCAACUCAUUCUUUAACUAAUUUGUCUGAAAAAUAUUAUGAAUACUUAAUUCAAAACACAACUUUCAACAACGGAUCUCUUGGCUCUC
rnacentral:misc_RNA from 1 species